UGCAGUCGUACGAGAAAGCCUUCGGGCAAGUAGAGUGGCGAACGGGUGAGUAACACGUGGGUAACCUACCUUUGGAUUUGGGAUAACAUUUCGAAAGAGGUGCUAAUACCAAAUAUGACCACAGAGUCUAAUGACUCAGAGGUAAAAGAUGGCCUCUCCAUGGAAGCUAUCGUCCAUCGAUGGGCCCGCGCUCCAUUAGCUUGUUGGUAGGGUAAUGGCCUACCAAGGCAACGAUGGAUAGCCGACUUGAGAGGGUGAUCGGCCACACUGGGACUGAGAUACGGCCCAGACUCCUACGGGAGGCAGCAGUGGGGAAUAUUGCGCAAUGGGGGAAACCCUGACGCAGCGACGCCGCGGAGGAUGAAGGCCCUUGGGUCGUAAACUCCUGUCAAAAACGAAGAAAGACAUUCUGUUUAAUAUACUUUAUGUUUGACUGUAGUUUUAGAGGAAGCUCCGGCUAACUCCGUGCCAGCAGCCGCGGUAAUACGGAGGGAGCAAGCGUUGCUCGGAAUCACUGGGCGUAAAGAGCGUGUAGGCGGAAUGAUUAGUCGGAUGUGAAAGCCCCGAGCUCAACUCGGGAAGUGCAUUCGAUACUGUCAUUCUUGAGUUCGAAAGGGGAGAGCGGAAUUCCUGGUGUAGCGGUGAAAUGCGUAGAUAUCAGGAAGAACACCUGUGGCGAAGGCGGCUCUCUGGAUCGAUACUGACGCUGAGACGCGAAAGCUAGGGGAGCAAACGGGAUUAGAUACCCCGGUAGUCC
rnacentral:rRNA from 1 species